GACGAACGCUGGCGGCGUGCUUAACACAUGCAAGUCGAACGGAAAGGCCCAGCUUGCUGGGUGCUCGAGUGGCGAACGGGUGAGUAACACGUGGGUGAUCUGCCUCUAACUUCGGGAUAAGCUUGGGAAACUGGGUCUAAUACCGGAUAGGACAAUCGUUUAGUGUCGGUUGUGGAAAGUUUUUUCGGUUAGGGAUGAGCCCGCGGCCUAUCAGCUUGUUGGUGGGGUAAUGGCCUACCAAGGCGUCGACGGGUAGCCGGCCUGAGAGGGUGGACGGCCACAUUGGGACUGAGAUACGGCCCAGACUCCUACGGGAGGCAGCAGUGGGGAAUAUUGCACAAUGGGCGCAAGCCUGAUGCAGCGACGCCGCGUGGGGGAUGACGGCCUUCGGGUUGUAAACCUCUUUCGACAGGGACGAAGCUUUGGUGACGGUACCUGGAUAAGAAGCACCGGCUAACUACGUG
rnacentral:rRNA from 1 species